UACGAGGGUGCAAGCGUUAAUCGGAAUUACUGGGCGUAAAGCGCGCGUAGGCGGCUUGAUAAGUCGGAUGUGAAAGCCCUGGGCUCAACCUGGGAACUGCAUUCGAUACUGUCGAGCUAGAGUGUGGGAGAGGGUGGUGGAAUUCCCGGUGUAGCGGUGAAAUGCGUAGAUAUGCGGAGGAACACCGAUGGCGAAAGGCAAUCCCCUGGGCCGUGUACUGACGCUCAUGCACGAAAGCGUGGGGAGCAAACAGGAUUAGAAACCCGAGUAGU
rnacentral:rRNA from 1 species